GCUCCGGUGGCCUAGUGGUUAGAGCGUCCGCCUCGGAUGCACGAGGUCGUGGGUUCGAUCCCCGGUCGAGUCA